rnacentral:rRNA from 1 species
UUCCGGUUGAUCCUGCCGGACCCGACUGCUAUCAGAGUGGGACUAAGCCAUGCGAGUCAACAUAGCAAUAUGUGGCAUACGGCUCAGUAACACGUAGUCAACAUGCCCAGGGGACGUGGAUAACCUCGGGAAACUGAGGAUAAACCGCGAUAAGUCACUACUUCUGGAAUGGGUAAUGACUCAAAUCUAUAUGGCCCCUGGAUUGGACCGCGGCCGAUCAGGCUGUUGGUGAGGUAAUGGCCCACCAAACCUGUAACCGGUACGGGCUCUGAGAGGAGGAGCCCGGAGAUGGGCACUGAGACAAGGCCCCAGGCCCUAUGGGGCGCAGCAGGCGCGAAACCUCUGCAAUAG